AUAUCCUCUUUUGCCGCACCCUUAGGGUGCGUCUGGUUCGCGCUAUCUUUUUAAGAUUCCUAGUAAUCCAAUAGGAAUAGAAAAAUAUGACGGUAUUUGGCUAAACGCACUAAAUAAUCUAGUUGGUAAUAUUAGAUUUACUUGGGAAUGAGAUUCAUCCCAAAGUACUAAUCUCAUUCUCUUGAGGGAGGGUGGUUAUUCUCAUAUUAAUGAAUUGGGGUAAUCAUAAUAUGUCUAAUCUCUUUCUUUCUCCCUACCCGCCGGCUAGUUGGUAUUAUUUUUCUUUACACUCUAACUUCAUAUCUCUCUCUAAACUUAUUUUUUUCUCUCUAAACUUCAACUCUUUUUCUCUCUCUAAACUAAGCUCUCUCUCCCUCUUUUUCUAAAAUCUCAACUCUCUCGCUCCCUCUAAUCUCGACUCUAUUUCUCUUCCUAUUUCUUUAAUUAUGUUCUCUCUCUAACCUAUGUUCUCUCUCUCUCUUUUUCUAAAAAGGUGUUGAAAUUUUUGGUGGCAUUAUUUAAAAUUAAUUAAAAAAAUAAAUAAAUCAAUUGUAUAUUUUUUGUAAACUUAAAUAACAUGACUAAAUAAUAUAACCGUGCGAACCAAACACAGGAAUGCCACAUUCUUAGUAAUAGGAUGAAUAGGAAUAAGAUUCUCGGACAUCUUUUUAUUGCUAGUAAUCUUUCAUAGUGCGAACCAAACGCACCCUUAGGGUUCUUCUUUGCCUUUUAACGACUAUCCAUAAUGACCGACUGUCCCUAGCGCAACUAGCAAAGGACUUGGUGGUUGGUAUCUAAGAUUAUAAGUUCGAAUUCUAGUUGAUUCAUAUUUUCAACCAAGUUCAUUUCUAAAAUGAAAUAAACGAAACGGAUAACAUACUACCUAUCUCUCUCUCUCUCUCUCAAAAAAAAAAAAAAACAACUAUCCAUGUAUCCAUAAAUAAAUGUUCUAUAU
rnacentral:lncRNA from 1 species